rnacentral:rRNA from 1 species
GCGCUUCUGGAGGGGCCUGCGGUGGAUUAGCUAGUUGGUGGGGUAAAGGCCUACCAAGGCGACGAUCCAUAACUGGUCUGAGAGGACGGCCAGUCACACUGGGACUGAGACACGGCCCAG